rnacentral:rRNA from 1 species
UACGAAGGGGGCUAGCGUUGUUCGGAAUUACUGGGCGUAAAGCGUGCGCAGGCGGCUUCUCAAGUCAGGGGUGAAAGCCCAGAGCUCAACUCUGGAAUUGCCUUUGAGACUGAGUGGGUUGAGUACGGGAGUGGUGAGUGGAAUUCCCAGUGUAGAGGUGAAAUUCGUAGAUAUUGGGAAGAACACCGGUGGCGAAGGCGGCGACCUGGUCCGAUACUGACGCUGAGGCGCGAAAGCGUGGGGAGCAAACAGG